UGUGCUCAGCUUGUCACCUCUAGACCCGUCCUCGGCAAAGGACAAAGCUACAGAGGGAAGACAGAGCUGCUGCCUCUUAUGGACCUGACACAGAGGUAUUCAGUGAUAAAGCUGACGAGGAGGAGACCUCCUGACUCUCAGCACUCCCCUUCCAACUUUGACCCUACACCCUCGAUGGGACGCACUGCGUGGCUUAGCGCACACAUAUCCUUCCUGCAUGGGACCGGACUUUUAAGGCUUUGCUGCACCAGAACUCUCCUGUUAUCUCUCUUCCUUUAGGAUUUAGCAAUAAAACCCUAUCAGGGGG